GCGAAGAAGGACGUGGCUACCGGCGAAACGUUUCGGGGAGUUGGAAGUAAGCUUUGAUCCGAAAGUAUCCGAAUGAGGAAACUCAAUAACUUAUUAUUGAAUCUAUAAAUAAAUAAAGAGCGAACCUAGGGAAUUGAAACAUCUUAGUACCUAGAGGAAAAGAAAGUAAAAACGAUUCCCUGAGUAGUGGCGAACGAAACGGGAACAGCCUAAACUUUUAAAAAUUACUUUUUAAAAGGGUUGUGGGAUAAAAAAAGAGAGUAUAUAGCGUAAGCUUAAACUGCUUUAAGAAAUUAGGUGAAAUAAUUGGAAAGUUAUACCAAAGAAAGUGAUAGUCUUGUAACCGAAAAUUUCUUUCAAAUAAUUUAAUCCCGAGUAGCAUGGGGCACGUGGAAUCCCGUGUGAAUCUGCGAGGACCACCUCGUAAGGCUAAAUAUUCCUGAAUGUCCGAUAGCGAAUAGUACCGCGAGGGAAAGGUGAAAAGAACCCCGGGAGGGGAGUGAAAUAGAACGUGAAAUUGCAAGUCCACAAACAGAAAGAAAACGACUUAGCGUUUAAUUUCGUGCCUGUUGAAGAAUGUUCCGGCGACUUAUAGUUAGUGGCAGGUUAAGAUAGAGAUAUCGGAGCCACAGUGAAAGCGAGCUUGAAUAGAGCGUUUGUCACUAAUUAUAGACCCGAACCCGGUUGAUCUAACCAUGGCCAGGAUGAAACUCAGGUAACACUAAGUGGAGGUCCGAACCGACUGAUGUUGAAAAAUCAGCGGAUGAGUUGUGGUUAGGGGUGAAAUGCCAAUCGAAAUCGGAGCUAGCUGGUUCUCCCCGAAAUGUAUUUAGGUGCAGCGGUUAAUAUUAUAGCGUAGGGGUAAAGCACUGUUUCGGUGCGGGCUGGUAAUUCGGUACCAAAUCGAGGCAAACUCUGAAUACUACGUGUACAGUUAACCAGUAAGACUGUGGGGGAUAAGCUUCAUAGUCAAGAGGGAAACAGCCCAGAUCACCAGCUAAGGCCCCUAAAUAAUUACUAAGUGAUAAAGGAAGUGGAAAGGCUUGGACAACCAGGAGGUUUGCUUAGAAGCAGCAAUCCUUUAAAAAGUGCGUAAUAGCUUACUGGUCUAGCAAUUCUGCGCCGAAAACUUACGGGACUAAGUAAUUUGCCGAAGCUGUGAGAUAUACAUAUGUAUAUCGGUAGGGGAGCGUUCUGUUGUAGAGUGAAGUAUUAGCGAAAGCGGGUAUAGACGAAGCAGAAGUGAGAAUGUCGGAUUGAGUAACGAAAACAUUGGUGAGAAUCCAAUGCUCCGAAAACCUAAGGUUUCCUCCGCAAGGCUCGUCCACGGAGGGUGAGUCAGGACCUAAGAUGAGGCUGAGAAGCGUAGUUGAUGGAUAAUAGGUUAAUAUUCCUAUACUGAUUAUUAAUGGUAUCGAGGGACGAAGAAGGCUAAACUAGCCAGAUAUUGGUUACUGGUCUAAGUUAUCAAGGUGUAGACGAUUAGAGAAAAUAAUCUGAGCUGAGAAAUGAAUGCAAGAUUUUUAAAAUCAAAGUAGUUGAUGUCAUACUUCCAAGAAAAGCUCGCAAUGCCUUAAUUAAUAAUCACUUGUACCCGAAACCGACACAGGUAGGUAGGUAGAGAAUACCAAGGAGCGCGGGAGAACCCUCCUUAAGGAACUCGGCAAAAUAGCUCUGUAACUUCGGAAGAAAGAGUGCCUUUUAGGCUGCAAUAUCAAGUUCCAAGCAACUGUUUAGCAAAAACACAGGUCUCCGCAAAGUUGUAAAACGACGUAUGGGGGCUGACGCCUGCCCAGUGCUGGAAGGUUAAAGAAGUCGGUUAGCGUAAGCAAAGCUGGUAACUGAAGCCCCAGUGAACGGCGGCCGUAACUAUAACGGUCCUAAGGUAGCGAAAUUCCUUGUCGGGUAAGUUCCGACCCGCACGAAUGGCGUAAUGAUUUGGAAGCUGUCUCGAGGAGGGACUCGGUGAAAUAGAACUAGCUGUGAAGAUGCGGCUUACCUGCGCCUGGACAGUAAGACCCUAUGAAGCUUUACUGUAUCCUGAAAUUGAAUUUCGAUUUUAUUUGCGCAGAAUAGGUGGGAGACGUUGAUAGGAAUCUUUUGGGAUUCAAGGAGUCAUCAGUGAGAUACCACUCUGAUAAAAUUAAAAUUCUAACUUCAUACCGUAAGCCGGUUGAAAGACAUUUUCAGGUGGGCAGUUUGACUGGGGCGGUCGCCUCCCAAAAGGUAACGGAGGCGUACAAAGGUUUCCUCAGGUCGGUCAGAAAUCGAUCUUUGAGUGCAAAGGCAAAAGGAAGCUUAACUGUGAGACAAACAAGUCGAGCAGAGACGAAAGUCGGUCUUAGUGAUCUGACGAUGCUGUGUGGAAAGGUCGUCACUCAACGGAUAAAAGUUACUCUAGGGAUAACAGGCUGAUCUCCUCUCAGAGUUCCUAUCGACGAGGAGGUUUGGCACCUCAAUUGGGGGCACAAUGGUAGAAAUAUAUUGUGACAAUUUGGCUGUAUGCUGGAAACUCCGUCCAUUAAAAAUGGAAUAGUAUCCUAAAUUACUUUCUUUAUUAAAAGAAAAGUGAAAAUAUUUAGGUGCGGACAAUCAGCAGGGAAGUUAAUUUAAUAAAUGUUAAAUUUAACCCCUCAACGACUAUACGCCGAACAACCUUAUUGGUUGAUGAUAUAGUCUGAUCUUUUAGGCGACUAAAAGGGUAUUUGUUAUUAUGGAUGAAACAAAUAACAUUAUCAUAAAAUACGACAGUUAAUUCAGUAUUUUAUUAACAUAAUUGCGAUGUCGGCUCAUCGCAUCCUGGGGCGGAAGUACGUCCCAAGGGUUGGGCUGUUCGCCCAUUAAAGCGGUACGUGAGCUGGGUUCAGAACGUCGCGAGACAGUUCGGUCCAUAUCCGGCGUGGGCGUUUGAGUAUUGAGAGUGACCUUUCUCUAGUACGAGAGGACCGAGAAAGAUGUACCUCUAGUGUACCAGUUAUCGUACCAACGGUAGACGCUGGGUAGCUAUGUACAGUUAGGAUAACCGCUGAAAGCAUCU
rnacentral:rRNA from 1 species